AGGACGAACGCUGGCGGCGUGCCUAACACAUGCAAGUCGAGCGGGGUCCAUCCAGUGGCAACACUGGUGAAGACCUAGCGGCGAACGGGUGAGUAACACGUGAGAAACCUGCCCUGAAGUCUGGGAUAACCCGAGGAAACUCGAGCUAAUACCGGAUGCCCCCACCGAGUCGCAUGGCUUGGUGAGGAAAGAUUUAUCGCUUCAGGAGGGUCUCGCGGCCUAUCAGCUAGUUGGCGGGGUAACGGCCCACCAAGGCAUCGACGGGUAGC
rnacentral:rRNA from 1 species